rnacentral:rRNA from 1 species
GACGAACGCUGGCAGCGUGCCUAAUACAUGCAAGUCGUACGCUUCUUUUUCCACCGGAGCUUGCUCCACCGGAAAAAGAAGAGUGGCGAACGGGUGAGUAACACGUGGGUAACCUGCCCAUCAGAAGGGGAUAACACUUGGAAACAGGUGCUAAUACCGUAUAACAAUCGAAACCGCAUGGUUUUGAUUUGAAAGGCGCUUUCGGGUGUCGCUGAUGGAUGGACCCGCGGUGCAUUAGCUAGUUGGUGAGGUAACGGCUCACCAAGGCCACGAUGCAUAGCCGACCUGAGAGGGUGAUCGGCCACAUUGGGACUGAGACACGGCCCAAACUCCUACGGGAGGCAGCAGUAGGGAAUCUUCGGCAAUGGACGAAAGUCUGACCGAGCAACGCCGCGUGAGUGAAGAAGGUUUUCGGAUCGUAAAACUCUGUUGUUAGAGAAGAACAAGGAUGAGAGUAACUGUUCAUCCCUUGACGGUAUCUAACCAGAAAGCCACGGCUAACUACGUGCCAGCAGCCGCGGUAAUACGUAGGUGGCAAGCGUUGUCCGGAUUUAUUGGGCGUAAAGCGAGCGCAGGCGGUUUCUUAAGUCUGAUGUGAAAGCCCCCGGCUCAACCGGGGAGGGUCAUUGGAAACUGGGAGACUUGAGUGCAGAAGAGGAGAGUGGAAUUCCAUGUGUAGCGGUGAAAUGCGUAGAUAUAUGGAGGAACACCAGUGGCGAAGGCGGCUCUCUGGUCUGUAACUGACGCUGAGGCUCGAAAGCGUGGGGAGCAAACAGGAU